rnacentral:rRNA from 1 species
GUAAUAGCUCACUAGUCGAGUCGGCCUGCGCGGAAGAUAUAACGGGGCUCAAACUAGACACCGAAGCUGCGGAAUGUAGAUUUAUCUACAUUGGUAGAGGAGCGUUCUGUAAGCCGUUGAAGGUGGAUUGAGAAGUCUGCUGGAGGUAUCAGAAGUGCGAAUGCUGACAUAAGUAACGAUAAUGCGAGUGAAAAACUCGCACGCCGGAAGACCAAGGGUUCCUGUCCAACGUUAAUCGGGGCAGGGUGAGUCGACCCCUAAGGCGAGGCUGAAGAGCGUAGUCGAUGGGAAACGGGUUAAUAUUCCCGUACUUGCACUAACUGCGAUGGAGAGACGGAGAAGGCUAGGCCAUCCGGGCGUUGGUUGUCCCGGUUCAAGGGUGUAGGCUGAAAACUUAGGUAAAUCCGGGUUUUCGUUAAGGCUGAGACCUGAUGAGGGUGACUCUACGGAGUCCGAAGUGGUUGAUGCCAUGCUUCCAGGAAAAUCUUCUAAGCUUCAGGUUAGUGUGAAUCGUACCCCAAACCGACACAGGUGGUCGGGUAGAGAAUACCAAGGCGCUUGAGAGAACUCGGGUGAAGGAACUAGGCAAAAUGGUACCGUAACUUCGGGAGAAGGUACGCUGCUGUUGGUGAUCGGACUUGCUCCGUAAGCUGAGGGGAGUCGAAGUGACCAGGUGGCUGCAACUGUUUAUUAAAAACACAGCACUGUGCAAAAUCGCAAGAUGACGUAUACGGUGUGACGCCUGCCCGGUGCCGGAAGGUUAAUUGAUGGGGUUAGCGCAAGCGAAGCUCUUGAUCGAAGCCCCGGUAAACGGCGGCCGUAACUAUAACGGUCCUAAGGUAGCGAAAUUCCUUGUCGGGUAAGUUCCGACCUGCACGAAUGGCGUAAUGAUGGCCACGCUGUCUCCACCCGAGACUCAGUGAAAUUGAAAUUGCGGUGAAGAUGCCGUAUACCCGCGGCUAGACGGAAAGACCCCGUGAACCUUUACUAUAGCUUGGCACUGAACAUUGAACCUACAUGUGUAGGAUAGGUGGGAGACUUUGAAGCAUGAACGCUAGUUUGUGUGGAGUCGUCCUUGAAAUACCACCCUUGUAGUUUUGAUGUUCUAACUCUGACCCCUUAUCGGGGUUGAGGACAGUGCCUGGUGGGUAGUUUGACUGGGGCGGUCUCCUCCCAAAGAGUAACGGAGGAGCACGAAGGUUGGCUAAGUACGGUCGGACAUCGUACGGUUAGUGCAAUGGCAUAAGCCAGCUUAACUGCGAGACAUACACGUCGAGCAGGUACGAAAGUAGGUCAUAGUGAUCCGGUGGUUCUGAAUGGAAGGGCCAUCGCUCAACGGAUAAAAGGUACUCCGGGGAUAACAGGCUGAUA